UAGGGAAUAUUGCAAAAUGGGCGAAAGCCCGAUGCAGCAACGCCGCGUGGGCGAUGAAGGCCUUCGGGUCGUAAAGCCCUUUUUGAGGGGAUGAGGAAGGACAGUACCCUCAGAAUAAGCCUCGGCUAACUACGUGCCAGCAGCCGCGGUAAAACGUAGGAGGCGAGCGUUAUCCGGAUUUACUGGGCGUAAAGCGCGUGCAGGCAGAUUGGAGAGUUGGAUGUGAAAGCUCCCGGCUUAACUGGGAGAGGUCGUUCAAUACUUCCAGUCUUGAGUGCAGUAGAGGGAAGUGGAAUUCCGGGUGUAGUGGUGAAAUGCGUAGAUAUCCGGAGGAACACCAGUGGCGAAAGCGGCUUCCUGGACUGUAACUGACGCUCAGACGCGAAAGCUAGGGUAGCAAACG
rnacentral:rRNA from 1 species